rnacentral:rRNA from 1 species
UACCAGCACCCCGAGUGGUCGGGACGAUUAUUUGGGCCUAAAGCAUCCGUAGCCGGUCAUGCAAGUCCUCCGUUAAAUCCACCUGCUUAACAGAUGGGCUGCGGAGGAUACUACAAGGCUAGGAGGCGGAAGAGGCAAGCGGUACUCAGUGGGUAGGGGUAAAAUCCUCUGAUCCAUUGAAGACCACCAGUGGCGAAGGCGGCUUGCCAAUACGCGCUCGACGGGUGAGGGAUGAAAGCUGGGGGGAGCAAACCGGAUUAGAUGACCC